CUCACCCUAUUAUGAAAAAAAGGGACACCAAGAUACUUGCCUAGAUUAUCGACUUUAGUAAAACCAAGUUUAGAACUUAACCUUGAAGAUACCUCAUCAGGAACAUUCCUUGAGAAAAAUACUUGGGUCUUUAACCUAUUCACACGAUGAUCUGAGUAAUGACAGAAGGUAUCCAGGACAUGUUUGAGACAAUCAACUCCCCUAUCAUCAGCUUUAUAAAAGACCAGAAGGUCCUCUGCAAA
rnacentral:lncRNA from 1 species